CCUACGGGAGGCAGCAGUGAGGAAUAUUGGUCAAUGGACGAGAGUCUGAACCAGCCAAGUAGCGUGAAGGAUGACUGCCCUAUGGGUUGUAAACUUCUUUUAUAUGGGAAUAAAAUGUUCCACGUGUGGGAUUUUGUAUGUACCAUAUGAAUAAGGAUCGGCUAACUCCGUGCCAGCAGCCGCGGUAAUACGGAGGAUCCGAGCGUUAUCCGGAUUUAUUGGGUUUAAAGGGAGCGGAGUUGGAUUGUUAAGUCAGUUGUGAAAGUUUGCGGCUCAACCGUAAAAUUGCAGUUGAAACUGGCAGUCUUGAGUACAGUAGAGGUGGGCGGAAUUCGUGGUGUAGCGGUGAAAUGCUUAGAUAUCACGAAGAACUCCGAUUGCGAAGGCAGUUCACUGGACUGCAACUGACACUGAGGCUCGAAAGUGUGGGUAUCAAACAGGAUUAGAUACCCGAGUAGUC
rnacentral:rRNA from 1 species